UUUUGAAACCUCAAGUCUCGGUCUCUCCUACCUCUCGUUCUCUCCCCAACUGAGUGUUCUUUUCCUCCUCCCUGCCUUUUUCAUUCCUGCAGCUGUGUGAUUAAUUGGGGGAGAGUGAAAUUAGGGUUUGUCCGUCUUCACUCAAUCAAAGGUAAUCAACUCUCGUUUUGAUUAAUUGUGAUUCUUAAACUUGAUUAUAUGCAUAAGUGUCUGUAUACUUGUGUAUGUAUGUAUUUGUGUGGCUGUUCGUUUCGACUGGAGAUGAUGACAACACUGUUGGUGGAGGGCCGUGGUGGUGAUGUGGUGGUGUAUAUAUAGCUGUGUGUUAUGUUCUUAAAAUGGGUUUUUUUGUGUAAUUUGAGUUGUGGUGUUAGAAUUGAGGCAAUUGUUGUCAAGCUUCGCAGCGGUAAUGUCCUGUUUUGUAGCUUUGUUCUAGGACUAUUAAGUUCAAUUACUAUGCUUAAUUUCCCUGUGAUUAUAUGCUCCUUGAAGUCUAGAUUAAGUGCGAAAAAGAAUUUCAAAGUUUCGUUAAAUGAGCUAAAAGUUAUGAAUUAAUUAGUGACUCUAUGUCUAGAUGACAAAAUUCUGCUAUGUGACAUAUGUGUGCACUGCCCUAUUUUGACAUGUGUAUUUCAAACUGAUAUAAGAUUAAUUGGUGAAUGGAUUGAUUUAUAUUGAUGUCUCUUAAGGUAUAAAAUCAGUACCAAAAGGAUUUAGGUUGAUUGGAUUAAUAAGAUUAAAGUUAUGUUAGAUUUUUAAGAGAUAUGCUACAUGAUUAGAUGCUGAGUAAUAUGUUAUGAUUUUGAUGUGUCUUGUAUGCAAAGUCUGUACAACAUAGAAUAGAAUUAAAAUACUGAACCUCUGAGACUAUAUGCUAUGUGGAAUCAAGGAUCUAUGCCAAGUGGAAUUAAUCAAUUUGGAUUAGUAAAUAUUAAGAUAUGAAUUUUUAUGUGUACGGUGUUAUUAGAGCCCUGCUGUGAUGCUUUCUCUGCACCAUGUUGAACUUCCAAAAUUUAUACUAAAUUAAUUAUGUGUUGGAACUUGUUUGUUUGACCUCUGUAACUUAGCUAUUCGAGUUCUAUAUGAUUUCUAUUCUCUGAGUUCCUUGAUUUGGUGCUUGCUUCUAUUUUAUGGAAAUUGAUUAAGUCAAGUAUGUCAAAACUAUACUACACUGCCCUGUUUUACUAAAUGAUGCAUUGUGUAAAUCUUAUAAAUGAUUAAAUGGUGAAUCUUUUUGUGUUGAUUAGAUAAUUUCAAGUAUGUCAUUUCCUGUUUGUAUUGUCUAGGAAAAUUAUGUAAUCUAAUGUGCUAUAAGUUGGCAAAAUUGAGAGGGCAGUUGCUGAUUUGUAUUAAGAAGUAUGAUUUGCCGUUUCAUUACUUAAUCACUUUUUGCAUACUAUAUAUGGUUAGAAAGAUCUUGGAAUGCUCUAUCUUUUUUUGUUUAAUGUAUCUAUAAAUGAGAUUUCCGAAUGCUAGUAAAAUGCAAAUCUCUUGGUGUCUGUCCAGCAGUUUAUGGGCUUUAUGAAUUGUCGAGUUAGAAUUAUAUGUAUUGUUCUAUGACUUGCAUCUAGACUUAAAGUUGAAUCAUUGUUUGGCUGAGAUAUGUGAGUUAUUGAUGUGUGAUUGUGUUUUAAUUGAUAAUUGGUUCGGUACUUGUUGGUUUAUUGAGUUGGAUUGGGUUGGUUAUUUGUUGAGUUGUAUAGGGAGUUAGAAAACUGUUUUGUUAAUAACUUUUGAUCCGUAAUUCAGAAUCGAGUGAAACGAAAAAGAGGUUAAAGCUUAGAAACUCUAGUUUAAUAUAAUGUAACAAUAUGAUUGAGUUUCCAAUGUGUAUAAAGAUUGUUGAAAAUGCAUAAUGUGACUAUACGUGAUCUAUUUGCUAUAUAGUGAUGAUUAUAUCAAAUACGUAUCCAUUUGAUUUGAUAAACGAUUUGGGAGACAUAGCAUCUUGUCUUGAUUAAUGUUGAAUAAGAAUAUGUAGAUUACAGGAAUUUGAGUUGAUUGAUUGGUUGUUGGUUGAAAUAGGCUGACAGAUGGAUAGUCCUAUAAAUAGACAAGACGCUGUCAGAUUUUCAAUAGGAUUUAUAUGGUUAUUGAGUUGUAGUAUGCUACAUGGAGUAUGAUGUGACUAUAUGAUAAAGUCAAAGCAUGAUUAUAUGUUAAGUGAUACCUGAUAAGUGCAUAGAGAUUAUAUAGGGUGAUAUGUGAUUAUGUGUUAAAUGCUAUCGAUAUAAGUGAUAUGUAUAUGCGAUAGGUUAUGAUACCGAGUUUGAUAAGUAAGAUAAGAAUUAAUAGAUUAUUUAGUAAUUAUGGUAGUAUUUUAUUCUCGUAAAGGAUUUGGACGAGGCGUAUACGACCGAAGACGUUCAGAAAGUCAAACGGUGUUCCAAAGCGAAUGAGGAACGAAUCGAGUAAGUGAAGCAGUGUGGCGAAUAAAGUAUAGCCAGAGAUGGUCUAGAUACUAUGAUAUGCAUAGGUUGUGAGUUGGAAAGAUGAGAUUAAGCUGUGUGUGGAAGCGGAUUUAAGGCAAGUUUUCCUAAAUACUUCCUCACAUAUAUAUAUUGCAUGUUCUGAUUAUUCUGUCCAGACUAUGUUAUUGCUUAUACUGAAACCCUUCUCAAAUAAACUCUUAUUUCUGAGAAUGAAACCCAUGAUUGUUUUCAACUUUCAAGUCUUUGAAAAGCCAAACACCCAAAUACUCUCAAUUUCUAUUACAAGUAUUCUGAUCCAUUCUUUCCAAUCCUCAAGAUUUUAAAAAUAUCAGCUUUACAAAUUAAUUCGAAGUUCAGACCGUCAUUGAAGCAUGGGUUGCUCAGUGAUAGUUAGAACCUAGAAUGAAUUGGGAUCUUCUUGAUUAUUCAACCCGCCAUUGUCAUGCUGGUUUAGCAGGCUAAAUUCAGUUGCUUAGCCGAUAAUGGAGGAUACUGAAUAGUUAGGAAUUUCCUGAACUAUGAUUUAUUAAAAGACAGACUGUGGUUUAUGAAAUGUUGAUCCUCAAAAGUUGGUUUGGAAUAUUUCUGUUAUUGAUAAUGAUUAUGAUUCUGUUCUGUUGAUUGAAUUGUCUAUUGAUUUAAAUUGUUAGAAUUGGAUUAGUUUUUAUAAAAUAUGUGGACCAGAUUCGUGGUCAGACCAGAUUCGUGGUCAAUUAUAGGCCAAUGUGUGCCUUGGAUCCAGUAUAGAGAACAGGGCUGUGUGCCAUGUUCGGGGUUAGUGCGUGACUGAUCAGCAGCCUAACCUUUGGUUUUUAAGUAAAAAUGUGAUGAAUCCAAUUCGACAAUUCUUCUGUAAGUUUGAAAUUCUGAUUUCAAUUGCUGAUAAGAAUUGUGAAGUUUUCAAUUGCAUAUCCUGAACUUGUGAACCCUGAUAAAAUAUUUCAGGACUAUUGUUGCUUAUAUACACUUGUUGAGCAUUGUAGCUCACCCUUGCUAUUCUUUUUUUUUUACCAUUUCAGAAAAGCUUAGAGAUGAAUUGCUUGAUUGAGAUUGCGAGUAUGGCUAAGGCUAAGCGAGGAGUCAGAGUUAUAGAAUAUCCAGAGGACAAGUGGAAUGUCCAGGGAGAUUGUCAAGGUUGGUUCUAGAUAGAAUUGUAUUGAUGAGAUUCAGUUGUAAGUCAUAAUUGGAAUAGAUUGACAGUGAUUCUUCUUAUCGAAGAUGAUCUGAGAUUGUAAGAUAUUGUUUAUUGAUAGUGGUUGAUUCUGAUUUCAAUACUGUAACCUGGAUGCGAUCCUGUUUUUAGGGGGUUAAAGUGUUUUCUUUUAAAUCUUUUAUUAAAGUCUUCAAGUUUUAAAUGCUUUGAUUUUUAUUUUCUCCUCAAAAAUACAGGUUUUCAAAAGUGUUUAAAAAUGGGUUUUGUGUGGUGACGUCAGAAUCCAGACCCCCGGAUUCUCGGGCUGUCACAGUUGGUAUCAGAGCAACA
rnacentral:lncRNA from 1 species